AUGUAAAGGAAACCCUGGAUAUUUUAGGUCUUCAAGGGAGCGCGUCCAUACAGAGAUUUUGUGGGCUUUAGCUAAUGCAAUUUCAUGUCACACCCUUACUUAAUUCAUCUUGAUCUUUCCCCAGUGUCCCACUUCAGCUUGAUUCUUUAGUAUGAAGUGGCUUAGUAUGAAGUGGAAUAACAGUGGAUCAAAUUCAGAAGAAAGCAUUAGCUGAACUUUUAGCUGAACCUUGCCCAUUAUGGGAAGGUUACUCAGCAUGGAGUAAGAAACGAUAGGCCAGCUACUUCAUACCCACUUUGUGUCAAUACACUUGGUUUACUUUGAAGUACUGUAGGCUGCAUCACACCAGCUAGCAUACACUGAGAGUUCACGCAAAGUAAUCACUGCAUUUAAAAUUCAGAUACACACCCCUUCAUGACUCUCACAUUUGCUCAACUAAAAGCAAAACUCAAAGACUGAAAGACCAGGUGGGAUACCUGCGCAUUAUCACUUCACUGUAGUAAUGCACUGCACUGAUAAUGGAGGAGAUAUUUAUUAACCAGGCACUUGAAGUUAAAACUGGAAAACAAAUCAAAAAAGCCAUUUGGAGAUGACAUGAAUAUUGCUGAAGGCAAUGAAGUCCAUGAAAUACAUUCCCAGAGACAAGGAUAAAGUUAGCGUGUUAAAUUGGAAGUUUCUGUGCAUUACUUGAACCAAUAGGGAAGGCCAAGAGAGUAUGGAAAUGUGCGUUUAUGAAAGCCAGUAGAAAGACUUCAUUUGGUAGUGAAGAGGAAGAAAAGGAGGAGGGCACAGGUGGACCAAAGGCAGGGAGAGAUUCUUGAACCACAGAAGUAAAAACUCCUUAAAAGUUAUUGGUUCGUUUGCUCUGUUAAUUGCUCAACACGGCAAUCAAGGGGGACUUAAUUUUUUUGUUUUAAAAGAGUCAUUUAAGGUUUUGCAGCCUCAUAACCAAAAACAUCAGAGUUACCCUCCCUUCACUGGAGACAAAGAACAAUGAAAAGAUGGAGCGUCUUGACAUAGGUCUAUGGACCAGCCAUCCCCAGGAGACUGAGAACUCCAAAAGAUUAAAAGAAGACCAACAAGCAUAGGAUCAAGGGCACGACAAUUCACAAAAGAUGGAAAAGAUUAGGACUGCUGUCUUCAGAGAAAAACAAGAGAGACAGAAUAGAAGUUCAUAAAGUAAUGUCUAGCGCAGGCUCAUCAGGAACUUCUGUUCUUCCUAUGUCACACUGUAGAAUAAAGGGACAUUCUCUGGACUAUCAAACUAAAGGUGGAAUAGUCAAAAUUGGGUGAAAAAAAAUACACAAGAGAUUAAAAUACGUUGUGGUUCAUCCAAAGCACUGAUGCUGAAUCAAAGGGACUCAGAAAGAAAAUGAGUUACCAACCUAAGUAUAUAAGACACCUUGAAGUUCAUGAUUCUGCAUGCACUUCAGCUUGUCUCACGCCACACACUGCUGUUCGCCCCAGGCCCUUUUCAGCUGUUAUCUGUCCCUCCACAGCUGUUCUUUAGCCAAACAAGAAGGACAUGCAGCCUUGUGCCAACCAGACGCCGUGCUCAUUCUGUAGCAAGGUCUCCACAGUAAAGUCUUAUCCAGAACAAACUUGGCAAUCAGAUCUACUUACUACUGAAUAACCCCAACCAUCAGACUCCUGAGUAGUUACACAUUUCAGGUAGUGCUAAUGAAGAGCCGAACUUGAAGGGGGAUCCUAGAAUAAGAGCCAAGAGUUCGAGGACACGUCAGAGACACAUCAGCAGUUUUGCCAAAGAUUUGUUUAAAACACAAGACAAAAGUCAGAAGACCAGCAACUACCAGGAAGAAACAUGGCGUCACGUGUGCACAUUAAGAAAAACUUGACCUUUGAAAUGCUAAUAUAUUGAAUUUUAUACCUGGAAAGAGGUCCCUCCUCUGCUUCUCUCCAUGAAUCCAGCUGAUGGCUUCCAACCAGCUCGAGAGAAGAGCCCCAUCUCUGCUCAUCACAGCUUGCAGAGAACAUGCUGACUACUGCCUGCCUGGGAAAUCCAGGGAGCCCAGCUGAGCCUCAGGGACAACGUUAAGAUGAAAGUGGUCGGAAGGACAUCAGAACAGUUUGACUGGGCUGGGGAUACCCCAGACAAUAAAGACAGUUUGGUAAGUACUGCCUUCCAUCUGCAAAGCAGAUGAGGGUUUAACGCCAAGGAUAAUUUAAAAG
ensembl:lncRNA